rnacentral:rRNA from 1 species
ACCCUACGGGAGGCAGCAGUGGGGAAUAUUGGGCAAUGGGCGCAAGCCUGACCCAGCAAUGCCGCGUGAAGGAAGAAGGCCCUCGGGUUGUAAACUUCUUUUAUCAGGGACGAAGGAUGUGACGGUACCUGAUGAAUAAGCUCCGGCUAACUACGUGCCAGCAGCCGCGGUAAUACGUAGGGAGCAAGCGUUAUCCGGAUUUACUGGGUGUAAAGGGCGCGGAGGCGGGAUGGCAAGGCAGAUGUGAAAUCCAGGGG